rnacentral:rRNA from 1 species
ACGGGGUGCAGCAGGCGCGAAACCUUUACACUGCACGCCAGCGAAAUAAGGGGAUCCCAAGUGCGCAGGCAUAGAGCCUGCGCUUUUGUUCACCCUAGGGAGGUGACCGAAUAAGGGCUGGGCAAGACCGGUGCCAGCCGCCGCGGUAAUACCGGCAGCCCAAGUGAUGGCCGAUCUUAUUGGGCCUAAAGCGUCCGUAGCUGGCCGCGCAAGUCCAUCGGGAAAUCCACCCGCCCAACGGUGCCGUCCGGUGGAAACUGCGUGGCUUGGGACCGGAAGGCGCGACGGGUACGUCCGGGGUAGGAGUGAAAUCCCGUAAUCCUGGACGGACCGCCGAUGGCGAAGCACGUCGCGAAAACGGAUCCGACAGUGAGGGACGAAAGCUAGGGUCUCGAACCGGAUUAGAUACCCGGGUAGUCCUAGCCGUAAACACUGCCUGCUAGGUGUGGGCACUACGAGUGGGUGCUGUGCCGUAGGGAAGCCGCUAAGCAGGCCGCCUGGGAAGUACGUCCGCAAGGAUGAAACUUAAAGGAAUGGCGGGGGAGCACGGG